UGCAUUUGAAGUAGAGAGCGUGCUGCUACACACCCACUGGGUCAAAAGAAAUGCGGGAACGGGCACACCCGCCAGAUGCA
rnacentral:tRNA from 12 species